rnacentral:rRNA from 1 species
AACGAACGCUGGCGGCGCGUCUUAAGCAUGCAAGUCGAGCGGCAAGAGGGAGCAAUUCCUCCUAGAGCGGCGGACUGGUGAGUAACGCGUGGGCGACCUACCCUGGGGAUGGGGAUAGCCGUUAGAAAUAGCGGGUAAUACCGAAUACGCUUACCUGAUUGAGGUUAGGUAAGGAAAGGGGCUUUGGCCCCACCCUGGGAUGGGCCCGCGUCCCAUUAGCUAGUUGGUGAGGUAACGGCCCACCAAGGCUCAGAUGGGUAGCCGGCCUGAGAGGGCGAACGGCCACACUGGGACUGAGAUACGGCCCAGACUCCUACGGGAGGCAGCAGCUAAGAAUAUUCCGCAAUGGACGAAAGUCUGACGGAGCGACGCCGCGUGGAUGACGAAGGCCGGAAGGUUGUAAAAUCCUUUUGCAGGCGAAGAAGAAGGCGUGGAGGGAAUGCCAUGCCGGUGACAGUGGCCUGUGAAUAAGCCCCGGCUAAUUACGUGCCAGCAGCCGCGGUAACACGUAAGGGGCGAGCGUUGUUCGGAAUUAUUGGGCGUAAAGGGCGCGUAGGCGGCUUGGCAAGUCCGGCGUGAAAUAUCGGGGCUCAACCCCGGGGCUGCGCUGGAAACUGCCAAGCUUGAGUCAUGGAGGGGCAGCCGGAAUUCCUGGUGGAGGGGUGAAAUCUGUAGAUAUCAGGAAGAACACCGGUGGCGAAGGCGGGCUGCCAGCCGGUGACUGACGCUGAGGCGCGAAAGUGCGGGGAGCAAACAGGAUUAGAUACCCUGGUAGUCCGCACUGUAAACGAUGUGCACUAGGUGUCUGGCCGAGCGGUUAGGCGCCGGAGCGAACGCGAUAAGUGCACCGCCUGGGGAGUAUGCCCGCAAGGGUGAAACUCAAAGGAAUUGACGGGGGCCCGCACAAGCGGUGGAGCAUGUGGUUUAAUUCGAUGGUACGCGAGGAACCUUACCUGGGUUUGACAUGCAGGGGAAUGGCGCCGAGAUGCGCCCGCGUAGUAAUACGCCCCUGUGCAGGUGCUGCAUGGCUGUCGUCAGCUCGUGCCGUGAGGUGUUGGGUUAAGUCCCGCAACGAGCGCAACCCCUACCGCCAGUUACCAUCAUUAAGUUGGGGACUCUGGCGGAACUGCCGGCGACAAGCCGGAGGAAGGCGGGGAUGACGUCAAGUCAUCAUGGCCCUUAUGUCCAGGGCUACACACGUGCUACAAUGGGAGGUACAAAGCGCAGCGAGCCCGCGAGGGCAGAGCGAACCGCCGAAAGCCUCCCGUAGUCCGGAUUGAAGUCUGAAACCCGACUUCAUGAAGCUGGAAUCGCUAGUAAUCGCGCAUCAGCAUGGCGCGGUGAAUACGUUCCCGGGC